rnacentral:rRNA from 1 species
GACGUAGGGCGCGAGCGUUGUCCGGAUUUAUUGGGCGUAAAGAGCUCGUAGGCGGUGUGUCACGUCGUUCGUGAAAACCUGCAGCUUAACUGUGGGCGUGCGGUCGAUACGGGCAUCACUGGAGUUCGGCAGGGGAGACUGGAGUUCCUGGUGUAGCGGUGAAAUGCGCAGAUAUCAGGAGGAACACCGGUGGCGAAGGCGGGUCUCUGGGCCGAUACUGACGCUGGAGGAGCGAAAGCGUGGGGAGCAAACAGG